GGGGGAUGCCGGCGUGCCUAUACAUGCAGUCGAACGAGUUCUCGUUGAUGAUCGGUGCUUGCACCGAGAUUCAACAUGGAACGAGUGGCGGACGGGUGAGUAACACGUGGGUAACCUGCCCUUAAGUGGGGGAUAACAUUUGGAAACAGAUGCUAAUACCGCAUAGAUCCAAGAACCGCAUGGUUCUUGGCUGAAAGAUGGCGUAAGCUAUCGCUUUUGGAUGGACCCGCGGCGUAUUAGCUAGUUGGUGAGGUAACGGCUCACCAAGGCGAUGAUACGUAGCCGAACUGAGAGGUUGAUCGGCCACAUUGGGACUGAGACACGGCCCAAACUCCUACGGGAGGCAGCAGUAGGGAAUCUUCCACAAUGGACGCAAGUCUGAUGGAGCAACGCCGCGUGAGUGAAGAAGGCUUUCGGGUCGUAAAACUCUGUUGUUGGAGAAGAAUGGUCGGCAGAGUAACUGUUGUCGGCGUGACGGUAUCCAACCAGAAAGCCACGGCUAACUACGUGCCAGCAGCCGCGGUAAUACGUAGGUGGCAAGCGUUAUCCGGAUUUAUUGGGCGUAAAGCGAGCGCAGGCGGUUUUUUAAGUCUGAUGUGAAAGCCCUCGGCUUAACCGAGGAAGCGCAUCGGAAACUGGGAAACUUGAGUGCAGAAGAGGACAGUGGAACUCCAUGUGUAGCGGUGAAAUGCGUAGAUAUAUGGAAGAACACCAGUGGCGAAGGCGGCUGUCUGGUCUGUAACUGACGCUGAGGCUCGAAAGCAUGGGUAGCGAACAGGAUUAGAUACCCUGGUAGUC
rnacentral:rRNA from 1 species